rnacentral:rRNA from 1 species
GACGAACGCUGGCGGCGUGCUUAACACAUGCAAGUCGAACGAAGAGCGAUGGAAGCUUGCUUCUAUCAAUCUUAGUGGCGAACGGGUGAGUAACGCGUAAUCAACCUGCCCUUCAGAGGGGGACAACAGUUGGAAACGACUGCUAAUACCGCAUACGAUCUAAUCUCGGCAUCGAGGAUAGAUGAAAGGUGGCCUCUACAUGUAAGCUAUCACUGAAGGAGGGGAUUGCGUCUGAUUAGCUAGUUGGAGGGGUAACGGCCCACCAAGGCGAUGAUCAGUAGCCGGUCUGAGAGGAUGAACGGCCACAUUGGGACUGAGACACGGCCCAGACUCCUACGGGAGGCAGCAGUGGGGAAUCUUCCGCAAUGGACGAAAGUCUGACGGAGCAACGCCGCGUGAGUGAUGACGGCCUUCGGGUUGUAAAGCUCUGUUAAUCGGGACGAAAGGCCUUCUUGCGAAUAGUGAGAAGGAUUGACGGCACCGGAAUAGAAAGCCACGGCUAACUACGUG